UACGGAGGGUGCGGGCGUUGUCCGGAAUCACUGGGUUUAAAGGGUGCGUAGGUGGGUCUGUAAGUCAGUGGUGAAAUCUCCGAGCUUAACUCGGAAACUGCCAUUGAUACUAUAGAUCUUGAAUUAUCUGGAGGUAAGCGGAAUAUGUCAUGUAGCGGUGAAAUGCUUAGAUAUGACAUAGAACACCAAUUGCGAAGGCAGCUUACUACGGAUCGAUUGACACUGAGGCACGAAAGCGUGGGGAUCAAACAGG
rnacentral:rRNA from 1 species